rnacentral:rRNA from 1 species
UGGGUAACGUGCCCCGAUGACUGGGACAACCCGGGGAAACCCGGGCUAAUACCGGAUAUGCCCCCUCACAUCAGUGAGGUGUGUAAAGGAAGCUUCGGCCUCCGCAUCGGGAUCGGCCCGCGGCCCAUUAGCUUGUUGGUGAGGUAACGGCUCACCAAGGCUGCGAUGGGUAGCUGGUCUGAGAGGACGAUCAGCCACACUGGGACUGAGACACGGCCCAGACCUCCGUACGGGAGGNGC